AACGAACGCUGGCGGCAUGCCUAACACAUGCAAGUCGAACGAAGUCUUCGGACUUAGUAGCGCACGGGUGCGUAACGCGUGGGAAUCUGCCCUUGGGUGCGGAAUAACUUCUCGAAAGGGAUGCUAAUACCGCAUAAUGUCGUAAGACCAAAGAUUUAUCGCCCAAGGAUGAGCCCGCGUAAGAUUAGCUAGUUGGUGGGGUAAAAAGCCUACCAAGGCGACGAUCUUUAGCUGGUCUGAGAGGAUGAUCAGCCACACUGGGACUGAGACACGGCCCAGACUCCUACGGGAGGCAGCAGUGGGGAAUAUUGGACAAUGGGCGAAAGCCUGAUCCAGCAAUGCCGCGUGAGUGAUGAAGGCCCAGGGUUGUAAAGCUCUUUUACCUAGGGAUGAUAAU
rnacentral:rRNA from 1 species